rnacentral:rRNA from 1 species
UACGGGGGGUGCGAGCGUUGUCCGGAAUCACUGGGCGUAAAGGGCGCGUAGGUGGCUCGGUCAGCGUGCGGUGAAAGCUCGGGGCUCAACCCCGAGUCGGCCGUGCGAACUGCUGGGCUUGAGCACUGUAGAGGCAGGCGGAAUUCCGGGUGUAGCGGUGGAAUGCGUAGAGAUCCGGAAGAACACCGGUGGCGAAGGCGGGUCUCUGGGCCGAUACUGACGCUGAGGAGCGAAAGCGUGGGGAGCGAACAGG